rnacentral:lncRNA from 1 species
GGCUCUAAACACUGCAGUCCUGAGUUGUUUUCAAACAGGUCUCAUUUCCUUUCCCAAGACCCAUCGAGAUUUCUUUUAAGUCUGAGGAACCAGAGAGUGUGAAAUUUUAAUUUCUCUUCUCAGACAAAUACUAUUUGAUCCCGAAAGAUCCUGAGAGAGAUCAAUAGGAUAGGAGGGUCCUGAAUAUGUAGAUUAAUGGUCAGCAGGUGCCCAACAGCUUCCUACAGGGUCAUUACCACAGGCUCCGUCAGAGGCACCACUGACUCUUCUUUCUUGAUCCUCUGCACCCCUCACCCCUCAAUGUGAAGGUGACCUGCAUCCCAGAAUGUUUCCCUGCUCUCUGCUUGCCUUAUCCUGAGUGCCCUGCCCAUCACCAACACCACAGAGUUAGAGAAUCCAAACAAAAAGAUGGGAACCCCAAAGUUGGAGCAACCAGGGGACGUGAUCAUUGGAGGCAUCUUUCCGAUUUACAUGACAGAGCCUUCAUUGCCAUUGAAUUUCACCACUGGACCCAUUAAAUUGCAGGUCCUUCUAGUUGUGGGACGUGGGAUGCCGCCUCAACGUGGCCUGACGAGCAGUGCCAUGUCCGCGCCCAGGAUCCGAACCCCUGGCCGCAGCAGUGGAGCACACGAACUUAACCACUCGGCCACGGAGCCGGCCCAGCUUUUCUCUUUUAACAUUAGCUUUUCAUUUUACAGAAAAGAUUUGGAAAGUGGGAUUGAUGGGCCAAUAUGAACAUGUAUUUUUUUAACAUGAAUUUUUUGUAUUAAUAAAAAUUGCAGAUUACUUUCCACAAAUCUACAAAGUAAUGGUUCUCCGUGUAGUGUAUGAGACAGUCAGUGACCAUCAGUCCAUGCAUGCCCACAAAUGCUGCUCUCAAAUAAUUUCCUCAGCUGGCCUCUGGACUGCAACAGAUGGUUGCAGGUCAAACUCUAUUCUAGUGGUUCUUGAAUUUUGUUGUGUAUAUAAAAAUCAACUGAAAUGCUUGCUAAAAUUUUAGAUCCCUUAGGCUCACCCCCGGAGGCU